rnacentral:lncRNA from 1 species
GCCCCUGUCGCCCCCCACUCUUGCCGCUCCGGGGCGACUGCUUUGGCGGGCAGCCUGGGCUCAGAGCAGCGGCCGAGAGGUCAGCGUGGCGGCAGCUAAGCGCGCGGCGCCAGUUUGCGCCCGGAAGAGCCCGCGCUGGGGGCUGAGCCCGCGGCCAUGUCCCCGCCCGCGUCCUCGGUGGGAGGAGGGGGCCGCCGGGCGCGGGGAUGAGGGCGAGGGAGCGGACCAAACUUUGGGAGAAGGCGGCGAGUUGGGCUGGACCCGCCUCCCGCGCAGCGCGGAAAUGACCGCAGCUCAGAGGAGGCUGGGGUUGGAUACCGGGGUCUCUGGAGCCUCGCGUGCUCCCGGGAAAAUGAGUCUAGUGCUCUGCCUCCUUGUUGGAGGACAAGAAAUCAAUUAGAUGAGAUUCCUGCCAGUCCUCCUCCAAGUCUACUAAAGGUCAGAGAAGCCCUGAGCAUUUUCGGUGAAUCCAUGCGUGCAGUCUGCGCGCCUUUCUUUCCCCAAGUGCAGGGAAUCGGGCCUCAAAGUUGGACGCACACACCCCAGAGGCCCGACCUCGAGGGUCCGGGGCUUCGAAUCUCCGACUGUCUCGGGGCGGGAUGCGGUUGCCCAGCCUCUCCUGGAGCAGGUGGCCGUGUCUUGCUGCUGCACUCGCUCCCCCACUUGGAAUUUAUAGCCAAGCGGCGACGCUCACGUGCUCCUCGCCGCGUGGUCGCAGACCUUUCCCGGGAGCGGAUCUCCGUGGGGGGGGCGGGGGCUCUCUCCAGCUUCUAAGGCUGCCUGGGAUCCUUCCUGCUCCUGCCCAGUAUUCCCUGGCUGUUCCGCCCUCCUGCCGCGAGGAUGCUGGGAGCCCCGGGUGACCAGGAGCGCUGGGGUCGGGUGUGGACUUCGCGGAGCGGCCCCUCACCCCUGCGCAGUGUCCCGCAAAGUGCGAGCGGCCACAUAUUGGGCGGUGGCUCCAGAAAUGGAGUUGGUCUGGGGGCUCGGGUUCUUGUUUGUGCUUCAGCUGUUUUUUAUGGCUGGGUUCCACCCGACGCUGAUCGGUUGAGCACCGGACUAUGCUUCCUUUGUCUAGGUUCUGAGGCGGCUGGCACCGGGGUCUGGUACACGUCCCGGCUACUGCCGGGAGAUGCAAAGGGAGCCAGAGGUGAAUUUGCCCUCUCUGGACGCUACCCGGCCCUCAGGAAAAUCCUGCAUAACCAGAAGAGGAAAGGAAAACUUUGUCAAAUAAAAGUGAUAGUGUUGUGGAGAAGGAGGGAGAAGACAGGCCAAAGUCUAGCAUCUGCCAUUGUCACUGCAGACCGAGGCUGCAGAGGAAAGAGGAUUUCACAUUGUCUGUGGGACCGUGCUUCAAAAAGCUCUCUACAAAUCAGACUUGGUGCAGGUAAGGUGGGCUGAUGUCUUUGGGGUAUCAGGGAGGUUUCUACCUAAGGAUGCCCCAUUACUCACGUCCUCCUACACACACACACACACACACACACACACACACACACACAGACUCACAUCUUCAAAGACCUGCCUUGCCUUCUCUUGCUCUGAUCAUUAUCCACACACACACACACACAGACACCUUCUACACUAUCUUGUAACAUCUAAAUCCUAAAACCAGAGAUUCAUUUCUUAGCAUGCAAAUGUCAUAAGGGAGGGAUCACCCAUGGUGAUAGGACUUUAUUAUGAAUUCCCAUAAUUUCCCAACUUGAGGAAUCCCUUGAUUAAUUGAUCAAUCGAUCUAUUACUAGAUAGAUAGAAGAAAUAAGGGACAUUAUUUUGAAAGGCAGGCCCAGAUUUUGUAGUCUAUUUUUGUAUCUUUCU